rnacentral:rRNA from 1 species
GAUGAACGCUGGCGGCGUGCUUAACACAUGCAAGUCGAACGGUGAAGCCAAGCUUGCUUGGUGGAUCAGUGGCGAACGGGUGAGUAACACGUGAGCAACCUGCCCUGGACUCUGGGAUAAGCGCUGGAAACGGCGUCUAAUACUGGAUAUGAGCUUCUACCGCAUGGUGGGGGUUGGAAAGAUUUUUUGGUCUGGGAUGGGCUCGCGGCCUAUCAGCUUGUUGGUGAGGUAAUGGCUCACCAAGGCGUCGACGGGUAGCCGGCCUGAGAGGGGAACCGGCCACACUGGGACUGAGACACGGCCCAGACUCCUACGGGAGGCAGCAGUGGGGAAUAUUGCACAAUGGGCGAAAGCCUGAUGCAGCAACGCCGCGUGAGGGAUGACGGCCUUCGGGUUGUAAACCUCUUUUAGCAGGGAAGAAGCGAAAGUGACGGUACCUGCAGAAAAAGCGCCGGCUAACUACGUGCCAGCAGCCGCCGUAAUAC